AACGAACGCUGGCGGCAUGCCUAACUCAUGCAAGUCGAACGAGACCUUCGGGUCUAGUGGCGCACGGGUGCGUAACGCGUGGGAACCUGCCUUUAGGUUCGGAAUAACUCAGAGAAAUUUGAGCUAAUACCGGAUGAUGUCUUCGGACCAAAGAUUUAUCGCCUUUAGAUGGGCCCGCGUUGGAUUAGCUAGUUGGUGGGGUAAAGGCCUACCAAGGCGACGAUCCAUAGCUGGUCUGAGAGGAUGAUCAGCCACACUGGGACUGAGACACGGCCCAGACUCCUACGGGAGGCAGCAGUGGGGAAUAUUGGACAAUGGGCGAAAGCCUGAUCCAGCAAUGCCGCGUGAGUGAUGAAGGCCUUAGGGUUGUAAAGCUCUUUUACCCGAGAUGAUAAUGACAGUAUCGGGAGAAUAAGCUCCGGCUAACUCCGUG
rnacentral:rRNA from 1 species